rnacentral:rRNA from 1 species
CCUACGGGAGGCAGCAGUGGGGAAUAUUGCGCAAUGGGCGAAAGCCUGACGCAGCGACGCCGCGUGAGGGAUGAAGGUCUUCGGAUCGUAAACCUCUGUCAGCAGGGAAGGACGGUCACUGUGCUAAUCAGCAGUGAAUUGACGGUACCUGCAAAGGAAGCACCGGCUAACUCCGUGCCAGCAGCCGCGGUAAUACGGAGGGUGCGAGCGUUAAUCGGAAUUACUGGGCGUAAAGCGCUCGUAGGCGGUAUGUCAAGUCAAGGGUGAAGUCCCCGCGCUCAACGUGGGAACUGCCUUUGAAACGGGCAAACUGGAGUGUGUGAGAGGAUAGUGGAAGUCCAGGUGUAGGAGUGAAAUCCGUAGAUAUCUGGAGGAACAUCAGUGGCGAAGGCGACUAUCUGGCACAUAACUGACGCUGAGGAGCGAAAGCGUGGGUAGCAAACAGGAUUAGAUACCCCAGUAGUC